GACGAACGCUGGCGGCGUGCUUAACACAUGCAAGUCGAACGGAAAGGCCCGGCUCUUGUGGGGUGCUCGAGUGGCGAACGGGGGAGUAACACGUGAGUAACCUGCCCUUGACUUUGGGAUAACAUCAGGAAACUGGGGCUAAUAUCGGAUAGGAGCUCUUGCAGCAUGGUGGGGGAUGGAAAGAGCCGGCGGUGGUGGCUGGAUUGGCGGGUUAUCCGCUUGUUUGUGGGGUAGGGGCUUACAAAGGCUGUGACGGGUAGCCGGCCUGAGAGGGUUACCGGCCACAUUGGGACUGAGAGACGGACCAGACUCCUACGGGAGGCAGCAGUGGGGAGUAUUGCACAAUGGGCGGAAGCCUGAUGCAGCAGCGCCGCGUGCGGGAUGACGGCCUUCGGGUUGUAAACCGCUGUCGCCGGUGACGAAGCGUGAGUGACGGUAAUGGGUAAAGAAGCACCGGCUAACUACGUG
rnacentral:rRNA from 1 species